rnacentral:misc_RNA from 1 species
GGUCUUUCAUUGUUUUGGCCGAUACUUCUGCCUUCACUUUGAAGCCUUUCAGCUUGGUAUGGCCCCCGUUUACAUGGCUUUCCUUCGUUUCAUGGGUGAUGAGACAGAAGCCCGUAACUACAGCUAUAGCUUGGAGGUUGGGGGAAAUGGCCGAAAACUCAUUUGGGAAGGCACCCCGCGGAGCAUUAGAGAUAGCCACAGGAAGGUCAGAGAUAGCCAUGAUGGCCUCAUUAUACAGAGGAAUAUGGCUCUUUUCUUCUCUGGAGGGGAUAGGAAAGAGUUAAAGCUUAGGGUGACAGGGCGAAUAUGGAAAGAACAGCAGAACCCAGAAGGUGGGGCAUGUAUACCCAAUCUCUGCAGUUAAGGCGUGCUAUAUGCUUUUGUAAUAUUAAUUUGUUCCAUAUAUUGAAAUGCAUGUGUGAAUACUGGAAGACUGAGCUAUAUAAAUUGUCAAUAAGCCAUUGGAGAAGUUAUUCUGGCUGUAGUUUGAAUUUUUUUUUCCAUUUUACCACCUGCUUGAAAGUGUAAUGGUGUGCUUCAUAUUGUAUUCUUCAACUUUGAUGCAUAUCGAUGUUACUGCUAUAAAUAGCCAGAUCAGUUUUUGAGUCUCACACCAACUUUGGAACCUAACAUUUGUACAUUUACUUGAAAACUGGGUAAUAGAAAUCAC